AGUUUGGGGCCCGCCGCCGCGGGAAUUCCAGCUUCCAUAGGGUAUAUUAAAGUUGUUGCAGUUAAAAAAGCUCGUAGUUGAAUUUCGGGGUUAGUAGGCUGGUCGUGCCACUGGUAUGUACUGGUCUUACUGAUUUCUCCCUUCUGGAAGAACUGUAAUGCCAUUUAAUUUGGGGUUGCGGGAAACCAGGACUGUUACUUUAAAAAA
rnacentral:rRNA from 1 species